UUAAAUAAAUAUUCAAGGAUAAAUUUGUCAUUGUUGAAUAUUAAAAAACCCUAAAUUCAUGCUAUAUAUACCAAAUUUCAUUGGCCAAAUGUAGAACAGAGAGACCAAUUAAAGACACAUAGGCGGCGAGAGAGAAGAUAGGUCACGUUGAAUUCUUCUUCAGAAAGAAAAAAGGAAACUAACCUCACUUUCUAACCUUCAAUACUCUUUCACAUGGCAUGAACAUAACCUACACCUAUAAACCUUUCAACACACUAAACCAUAACUAUAAUAUCACCUUUCCAUUUUAACUAAUUUUCUCCAUCUUCUCCAUUUUUUUCAUCACUUCCACCAUGUGAAAAACACACUUCAACAUUUUCUUCAACAUCAACACCACUUUCUUGUAACUUUUUCUCUUAACACCAUAACCAUGUAACCUCCAAACAUACUUAUCUUAUUAAUCUCUCAUAACACCUACCACAUAUCAUCUCUUGCCUCUCUCAAAAAAAAUUGGAACCAAAGUCUCCACAUUUCUUCUUUACUACAACACUAUCAACUCCAUAAAACUCAACUUCAAAAUACCAUAACAUUAUCUUCCUCUUCAUUCAACCAUUUUUUGUCCAAGCUUCACAUUACUACAACAAUAUUCACAUCACAACAACUUAACAAAUUUUAAAACUUUCAUCUCACCAUUAUAACCAUUAUAACCUUCAUAAACAUAUUUCACACCACCAUAAUAACCUCUCCUCAUCUACUCAACCAUAAAACUUCACUACCACUUACCAUGUUGCUCCAUAAAAAAAUCUAUCACAUGCUUCAUAAACCAUAACUCCAGUAACACAAGAAAUCAAACUGAAAUAGAAGAAUAAAUGGAUUGGGAACACCACACCUCGAUGAAUCCGGCCGAGCAACACUCCACCGUCGUUCCUCAUACAUGUCGGUAAUCGUCUUUUUUUUUUCUUCUCUUUUGCAUAUUUUCCUUCAUGAGUUUACUUGUUGAUUUGUGAUUUUAUUAUGAGCAAAGAUGUGAAGAGAUGAAAGUGUAUUAUGAAAUAUUUGUUUGUUUAUUUGACACCAUUUGAAUUUAUUUGAGAGAGGAAGAGAAAUGUGAGGAAACAAUGGAGAAAAUAUGUGUUUGUUUUACUCUCGGUAGCAGGGAGAUGAGAGAGAUGAAGAGUUUUGUUCUCUUUUAAUUUUUGUAGAAAAAUGGGAGAAGGAGAUUUUAUAUUGUCUUAUUCUAUGACACAUGUCGAUUUUGGAUAGGACCAUUUUAAAUUUGGAAAAGCCAUGCUCCAAGCAGCAGCAACCCCACACUCUUGUCAUUGUUUUUUUUCUCUCUUUAUUUUUUUGUUAAUUUUAAUUAUCUAUUAUUAUUAUUAUAACUAGGACACUUAUUUAUUUUCUUUUAUUUCAUCUCCACUGCAUCACGUCAUAUAUAUAUAUAUAUACUUUUUGUGCUUGUCUUGUUUGUAUAUUAGUUACAGUGAGUGAGUGGGAAUUGAGAUACUAAAACCUACUCAUUUAGUAAUAAAUCACUAACUAGAUGUGCAUUAUAUUUAAAUAGUUACUUCUUUUUGUUAAACAAAUAACUUAAUUACUAUAAGUGACAUUUUUGUAAAUAACUCCAUUUUCUUGAUGUUAGAUUUUACUAUUUAAAUGAUUCACAUCUAGAUAAAUUGAUUAAUAUUUUUUAGUUGAUUAAUUUUUAAUUAAUUAAUUGUUUUUUUAAUUAUUAGGUGGAAUAAUUAGAUUAUUUGUUUAGUUGUUUCUCAUGUGUUUAGUCGAUUAAUAUUUAUCCAUUCCUUUUCAUACAUGUAAAUAAUCACGCUCAACAUCUUACUAGCAUUUCAAUUUCACACUAAUUUCACUUGCACUUCAAAUCUAUUUCCAAAUCCAUUUUAAUAAGUACAUUUCCACUUCAAACCAUUUUCUUAACUAAAUUGGAAGAAAAAGAUUACCUGGGUGAAAGGUCCAGAUGUAGUCCCUAAUGCUAGGCCCAAGUUGUAAGAGUUUGUAAUCCAUAAUUGUUCGUCUUCCCUUCAAAACACUUGUAAAUAUUCAAACUUUUUUCUUAAUAAAAUUUGAAGAAAAAGACUACCUGAAUGAAAGGUUCAAAUGUAGUUCCGAAUGCUAGGUCCAAGUUGUAAGAGCUUGUAAGCCAUAAGUGUUCAUCUUCCUUUCAAAACACUUGUAAAUAUUCAAACUUCUUUUCUCAAUAAAAUUGAAAGAAAUAGAUUACCUAGGUGAAAGUCCAGACUAGUCCCGAGUAUUAGACCCAAAUUGUAAGAGCUUGCAAGUCAUAAAUACUCGUCUUUCAAGUCCAAAAAUAUAUUCAGCCAAUCAAACUCUUUUUCUCCCUCGUGCGAUCGAUCAGAAAAACCUUUUCAUAAACGAAAGACAUCUUGUCUUAAGAUGAUGUAUAACAAUGCUUCGUCCAUAAUUAUUAAGUUGAGAUAAGUGAUAUUUUUCCGAAUGUUGAUUUGUAAAUCCAUUCAAUGUGUGGUAUACGUCCGCUCCUCAUCUGUUUUAGGUAAAACAAUGUUUUUUGUCGAUUAAUACAAUAUAGCUUUCGCUAAAUUCGACCAACAAAUAAACAUAUUCUACCUAGAACUACGUAAUCCUUGAGUUCUCUAUUGCACCCGGAGAUACGUAGGAGCAUGAUUUGUAAAUCUUGUCAGACCCAUUAAUAAAAAACUUAGGUUUAGUCCCCUUUGUUGCAAAAAUCCAAAAGCAUCUUGUCAUACCCCAAAAUUUGCCCAUUAAUAUUUCAAGACAUUUUUUCAGGGCACUCCGACUCAUUUUUAUGAUCUUAAAGGAACGAAGGCCCAGCUCACGAAUGGCCCAAUCCAGAAAAUGGCCCAAAC
rnacentral:lncRNA from 1 species